CUUACACACACACACACACACACACACACACACACACACACACACACACACACAUCGUCAUCUACUGAUUCAGGGUCUGGUCCAGCAGAAGGCUUCUUGUGGUUUCUCAAGUCACAGACAGAGGAACAAAUGGCAAAUACCACUUGGAGCAGGGCCCCCUCCUUUGGAAUGGCUUUCCUGUCCCCGAGUGGAGGAAAAUUGCAGCUCUCUCCAUGGUGAACGGAGAUGACAGAGAAUCACUGGGAAGUCUCAGGGACUGUCUGCCAUGCGCCCCUGGAAGGUGGAGACCAGUACAUCCUUGCAGUCCACUGGACAGUCAGCCUAAUGCAAUGAGUGAACCCCACAUCUCGGUCUCACCUAAGGCAAUCCACAAAUGGAGAGACUAGGAUGCUUCAUCUUUUCGUUUGUUUGAUGCUCAGUCUUGAUUGCUGACUCUAUGGGAUUAGAAUCACCAUAGAAACAGGUUUGAAGAUGGAUGGCAAAUCAUCUACUCCACCCUUAAUGGCCUGUGCUGUGGAAGAUACUGCUAACUCAGCACAGCCAUGCUUCCUACAACUCAUAAUGUCCAUCAAGGUCACAAAGCUGGUCCAGUAUCAUGUUGCCAGGAGUGGUCGUCACCAAAUCCCGGCUCUAGUGAUCUGUCCGAGGACUUGGCAGAAGAGCUAUCCUUGUCAUCAUAUUUCCAUAUUGAAGUCCAAAUGACUCUGCUAUUGAUUAUUAAAUAGCACCACGUGCUGUAUUUUAAAACAAAACUAAUGUAAAAACAAGGGAAGGAGUUGAUGUCUCUCUGGUGAGCUGGGUGACAUACACCUAUAAUCCCAGGCACAUGGGAAGAUAGGACAGAAAGAUUUUGGUUUCAAUGCCAGUGCAUGUUACAUAGUAAGACUCUGUCUUAAAGAGGAAGAAGAAGGAAGAGGAGGAAGAAGUAGAAGAAGAGGAGGAGGAGAAGGAGAAAAAAAACCCAAACAAGCAACAACAACCAAAACCAUGGUGGUCAGCCAGAUGGUUCAUCGGAUUAAAGUACUUGCCGUACAAGCUGAGUUUUAUUCCCAGAAUCUACAUUAGAAAGCCAGAUGUGGUGGCACACAUCUGUAAUCCCAACAUUUCUAUGAUAUAACUGGGAGGUGGGACAGGAGAAUCUCCUGAAGACUCAUGGGCUGGCUAGCCUGGAGCAAGCAAUAGCAGAGACAAGAGAGGCCCUUCCUCAGCAAGGGAGAAGGAGAGGAUCACUCCAGA
rnacentral:lncRNA from 1 species